rnacentral:rRNA from 1 species
AGAGUUUGAUCCUGGCUCAGGAUGAACGCUGGCGGCGUGCCUAAUACAUGCAAGUCGAGCGAACGGACGAGAAGCUUGCUUCUCUGAUGUUAGCGGCGGACGGGUGAGUAACACGUGGAUAACCUACCUAUAAGACUGGGAUAACUUCGGGAAACCGGAGCUAAUACCGGAUAAUAUUUUGAACCGCAUGGUUCAAAAGUGAAAGACGGUCUUGCUGUCACUUAUAGAUGGAUCCGCGCUGCAUUAGCUAGUUGGUAAGGUAACGGCUUACCAAGGCAACGAUGCAUAGCCGACCUGAGAGGGUGAUCGGCCACACUGGAACUGAGACACGGUCCAGACUCCUACGGGAGGCAGCAGUAGGGAAUCUUCCGCAAUGGGCGAAAGCCUGACGGAGCAACGCCGCGUGAGUGAUGAAGGUCUUCGGAUCGUAAAACUCUGUUAUUAGGGAAGAACAUAUGUGUAAGUAACUGUGCACAUCUUGACGGUACCUAAUCAGAAAGCCACGGCUAACUACGUGCCAGCAGCCGCGGUAAUACGUAGGUGGCAAGCGUUAUCCGGAAUUAUUGGGCGUAAAGCGCGCGUAGGCGGUUUUUUAAGUCUGAUGUGAAAGCCCACGGCUCAACCGUGGAGGGUCAUUGGAAACUGGAAAACUUGAGUGCAGAAGAGGAAAGUGGAAUUCCAUGUGUAGCGGUGAAAUGCGCAGAGAUAUGGAGGAACACCAGUGGCGAAGGCGACUUUCUGGUCUGUAACUGACGCUGAUGUGCGAAAGCGUGGGGAUCAAACAGGAUUAGAUACCCUGGUAGUCCACGCCGUAAACGAUGAGUGCUAAGUGUUAGGGGGUUUCCGCCCCUUAGUGCUGCAGCUAACGCAUUAAGCACUCCGCCUGGGGAGUACGACCGCAAGGUUGAAACUCAAAGGAAUUGACGGGGACCCGCACAAGCGGUGGAGCAUGUGGUUUAAUUCGAAGCAACGCGAAGAACCUUACCAAAUCUUGACAUCCUUUGACAACUCUAGAGAUAGAGCCUUCCCCUUCGGGGGACAAAGUGACAGGUGGUGCAUGGUUGUCGUCAGCUCGUGUCGUGAGAUGUUGGGUUAAGUCCCGCAACGAGCGCAACCCUUAAGCUUAGUUGCCAUCAUUAAGUUGGGCACUCUAAGUUGACUGCCGGUGACAAACCGGAGGAAGGUGGGGAUGACGUCAAAUCAUCAUGCCCCUUAUGAUUUGGGCUACACACGUGCUACAAUGGACAAUACAAAGGGCAGCGAAACCGCGAGGUCAAGCAAAUCCCAUAAAGUUGUUCUCAGUUCGGAUUGUAGUCUGCAACUCGACUACAUGAAGCUGGAAUCGCUAGUAAUCGUAGAUCAGCAUGCUACGGUGAAUACGUUCCCGGGUCUUGUACACACCGCCCGUCACACCACGAGAGUUUGUAACACCCGAAGCCGGUGGAGUAACCUUUUAGGAGCUAGCCGUCGAAGGUGGGACAAAUGAUUGGGGUGAAGUCGUAACAAGGUAGCCGUAUCGGAAGGUGCGGCUGGA